AGAGUUUGAUCCUGGCUCAGAAUCAACGCUGGCGGCGUGCCUAACACAUGCAAGUCGAACGAGAAAGUGGAGCAAUCCAUGAGUAAAGUGGCGACCGGGUGAGUAACACGUGACUAACCUACCUUCGAGUGGGGGAUAACCUCGGGAAACCGGGGCUAAUACCGCAUAAUAUCCACGGAUCAAAGGAGCAAUUCGCUUGAAGAGGGGGUCGCGGCUGAUUAGCUAGUUGGCGGGGUAAUGGCCCACCAAGGCUUUGAUCGGUAGCCGGCCUGAGAGGGCGCACGGCCACACUGGAACUGAAACACGGUCCAGACUCCUACGGGAGGCAGCAGUGGGGAAUUUUGCGCAAUGGGGGAAACCCUGACGCAGCAACGCCGCGUGGAGGAUGAAGUCCCUUGGGACGUAAACUCCUUUCGACCGGGAAGAUGAUGACGGUAC
rnacentral:rRNA from 1 species